UCCCACCAUUUUUGAUCUUCCACAAUCUCUAUAGUUUUUCAGGAUCUUGAUCUCCCUCUGAUCUUGAUCUCUAACUGUUUCUUGAUCUUCAACAAUUUCUUAAUCGAUCUUCAAACAAUUGUUACUGAUUUCUAACCAACAACCUCACCGAUCUGCAGCCAACAAUCUCACCGAUCUGCAACAAACAUUUCUUGAUCUUGAUCAGUACGAUCUUCAAAUCGUUCUCCUCUUCUAGAAUUCGUUAUGAAAAAAUUUUAUAAACAUAAGCAUACAACUAGUUAUAAAUUAACCUGAACAUGCAACUAGUUGUAAAUCUGAAAUACAAUUAGUUGUAAAUCUGAACAUACAACUAAAUUAGUAAUUAUAAAUCAAAACAUACAACUACUUAUAAACCUGAACAUGCAACUAAUUAGUAAUUAUAAAUUUGAACAUGCAAUUAAUUAUAAAUCUAAACAUGCAACUAAUUAUUAAUUAUAAAUCUGAACAUGCAACUAGUUAUAAAUUUGAACAUGCAAUUAUUUGAAAAUCACGAACAUGCAAUUAGAUAUAAAUCUGAACAUGCAACUAUUUGAAAAUCAUGAACAUUCAAAUAUUUGAAUAUCUAGGACAUGCAACUAGUUAUAAACCUGAACAUGCAACUAUUUGAAAAUCAUGAACAUGUAACAACUAGUUAUAAAACUGAACAUGUAACUAUUUGAAAAUCAUGAACAUGAACAACUAGUUAUAAACCUGAACAUGCAACUAUUUGAAAAUCAUGAACAUGUAACAAUUAGUUAUAAACCUGAACAUGCAACUAUUUGAAAAUCCAGAACAUGCAACUUGUCGAAGAAUCGAUAGAGGCAGAGACUGCCGUAUAGCGGGA
rnacentral:lncRNA from 1 species